CUCACGCUGCCAGGCUGCACAGAGCACUGUUGGAUCUGGCUGAACGAAUUGCUUUCCCUGUCUCUGAAACAGAAAGUUCUCAUCUGCCAUCCUUGCCCCAGUUGAAGGAAAACUCAGUUUAACAAAAGAAAACAAGAGAAUAAGAGACAUGAUUGAGAAGAUAAGGAAUCUGCAGGGCAUACAAGAGAUGUAAAGGCACAGAAAUGAAGAGUAAGCUUGGAGAGUGACAGAAACUGAAAAAGUCAGGAUAACUGG